UAAGGAAUAUUGGUCAAUGGACGCAAGUCUGAACCAGCCAUGCCGCGUGAAGGAUGAAGGCGUUCUGCGUUGUAAACUUCUUUUAUCUGGGAAGAAACCUACGAUUUCUAUCGUAGCCGACGGUACCAGAGGAAUAAGCACCGGCUAACUUCCGUGC
rnacentral:rRNA from 1 species